GUGUUUUCCUUCUCUGUCUUUCUUGCUGUCUUGUUUUCUCUUUUCCUUCCGUCCCUCUGCCCUCUCUUCAUUUCCCCAAACUGAGCUGUUUAUCUCAAGCACUGAGGCCUCUGAAGGCCCUGGAAUUUGUCCAGGUUAUUUCUGUCUUCUGCAAAUUCAGCCCACCACUGUACCAGAAUGAGCUGAACCUCUGCCUUGAGUUUGUCAAAAUGUGUUUUGAGCCUGAAAUGUUUAAAAGAAGCCAGACAUAUGGCAUAUUCUAAGUAAAUUUUGCUUCACUGGAAGAUUCGGAAUCAGCUGUCAGUGACUAUGUGAUACAGUCCUGCACCAUAAUAAUGAUAAGGAAAUUUAUAGAAACAUGUAGUGAAAAACUUAAUUGAACAUACAGAAAAGAGGAUAGUUUUAUCCAUCCUGAUUCAGAAUAGUGCUUAAACUUUUCCUUCCCGUUAAGAACACUUAAGUACCUUUCCCAAGUAAAGACUGAUAAUCAUCUGACUUUGAUUAUGGUAGCAAGUGAUACUAGACAGAUAUUACGUCCAGAAUAAAAUACAGAACAAAACACAUAUUUGCUUGGAUAAAUGUAUCUAUCUCACUGCAUUGACAUUCUGCCUACUGCUCAGCAGUACUGCUGGAACUUCUCUCUCGGAUUUAAGCUUCUUGAAUAUAUCCGUAAUCUCUGGAGGUGUAAAGGGCAUCAUUCUGUAAUGAGUGUUUAUCAAGACUGCCAUUUAGACUUCUUGAGAUCUUUCUGCUCCAAAAGGGCACAUACAGCAUUAAAGGUCUGCUGCCAUCAUCGACAGUCAUGUUAGCCAUGUAUGAAACCCUGUAUAUUGUGAAGAAGAGAGAAGCUACAUCUUUUAUCAAGUCCUUCCAUUUCUAAAUACUGGCUUCAGCAUGUAUUUAACACUAGAUACUUUAAAGAGUAAAAUGUGAUAAUAUCUGGUUAUCAUAUCAUGAUACCUUAUUUUUUUGUAUGUCUUUUUGCAUCAGUGUUAUCUAGAAAAGUCUUUUUUUUUCCCAAUGAGUUAGUGUAUCUCCAACCUGCCUGACUAACUGGGCAAGUUAACACUGACCUUUGCAGUUGCUUUGUAUUCUUGCUUUGCUUUCCCCCUUUUCAUGACAUUGUCUUUCAGGGUAGCUCAUGAGGGUGUAGAUUUUUAGGGGGCAUAGUUAACUGAAGGUCAUAGAAAGCUGGCAUUUAAACAGAGAAACCAUGCAUUCUUGAUGUUCAUGAGUCUGGAAAUUAUACUUCCUCUUGGUUUUGUGGUGGCAAAUUAUCACUUGAUAAAUAAAUAGAAAUUAAAGGGUGUUUUUAUUUUCUUUUUGUAUUUUAUUUCUUGUGGAAAUACACUCUGCACUUUAAUAGUCUAAAAGGAUGGAAAUACACUCUGCACUUUAACAGUCUAAAAGGAAUAAUGAUUCUGGUGGAGUAGCAGGGGGUUGAAACUACAUGAUCAUUAUGUCCCUUUCCAAUCCAGGCCAUUCUAUGAUUUUAUGAUCCUCUGAUUAUUGGAACGCUGGACGAAUGUCUGCCAGAUCUACUGGAACUUUGGAGCAGGUUGCUAUACAGAAAUUUUCAGGAAUAUGUUCUUUUUUUUAGGAACUUGAUAGUCUUUGUUGACAAAUCAUACAGUAGCCAGACACAUAUUAAAAUUAAUGCAUAUGAGCCAGUGAGUGAAGGAGUCCCCUUGGAUACAUUCUUUUAUCAUCUUGGAGAUGCCUGGGUACUGGAGGUGAGCAGGCUGAGUUACAGUACACUAGUUCUGGACUAGAAGGAGACGUCUCUCCUGAAAGAAAAAUCCUCAAGAGAUAUGGAGAGGUGGAUCU